rnacentral:rRNA from 1 species
GGGGAAUAUUGCACAAUGGGCGCAAGCCUGAUGCAGCGACGCCGCGUGGGGGAUGACGGCCUUCGGGUUGUAAACCUCUUUCGCCUACGACGAAGCGAGAGUGACGGUAGUAGGAGAAGAAGCACCGGCCAACUACGUGCCAGCAGCCGCGGUAAUACGUAGGGGGCAAGCGUUGUCCGGAUUUACUGGGUGUAAAGGGCGCGCAGGCGGGAUAAAAAGUCAGUGGUGAAAUCCUACAGCUUAACUGUAGAACUGCCUUUGAUACUUUUAUUCUUGAGUUCGGGAGAGAGAGACGGAAUUCCAGGUGUAGUGGUGAAAUACGUAGAUAUCUGGAAGAACACCAGUUGCGAAGGCGGUCUCUUGGUCCGACACUGACGCUGAGGCGCGAAAGCGUGGGGAGCA